UCAGCCACUUAACCUCCUAUAAUGAUCGGUCCAUUAACAUCAUCAAUGUAUUACGUCGAAAUCAACACUGAAACGUAAUCGCGCCGUCACUUUCUUAUAUCAAACCAAGAUGCAUUAAUUAUUAUUUGGCCUGUCACACAUAUAACGAGCAAAGGAUUCAUCGCGGAAAAUGUUCAUAGGCUAUGUGAAACCUUUAAAAAAGUACUAUGUAAAAGUCUCACUUUCGCACUUCAUUUUAUUUAACAGAGGCAACGGAUAAAUAGUUUUCAAGACAUACCUUCAAUCCAGUCCUGAGGCGCUGGUCGCUCCUUGCAGAGUGCUGGAAGGCUCUGCAGAGUUGUCUGGAGCAUGAUUGACAAAAGCGUGGGAACACACUCAGCAGCUCACAAAAGCAAUGCCACCGAAGACACUUUCCUUAGCAGAUAAAUGAAGGGAUGGUUUGACGCAAUAAACUCGUCUGACGCUGCUGAGUUUGAAGGAUGACGAAUUGGGAUUGAGUCUGUAUGCAUUGCCCACUUUGACCAACAGAGGGAAGAAUAAACCCCUCCCCAACACUGGUGGCAUGGAAGUGGUGGAAGAAAACGUCGAAGUACUUGUGAGUGCGCGUCGACUGCAUCUGUCAAGUUUUACUCAGAUUAUUGAAAAUUCGGUAUUGAUGUGAAUCAACAGAGGGGCUUUGCAUCUUAUUGGGAUUCAUGUUAGUAAUUGUGCUCCUAUCACAAGUGUUCCUUUUGGACUGUUUUGAAGGACAUUGAAAAACUAUGACCAACAAAAAUAAAUUUAGUCCACGCGCCUUUUACACAUACGGCUGGUUUGAUUC